GCAAUUGGGCGGGUGGGGGAACUGAGGUGCAUAUGAUGACGUGUGAAUCCUAGGAACUGCAAUGCAUGCAAUGAAACUGUAACCCAAUUCAUGGAAAAUGGAAAACACCCUUUUCUUUUAUGUUAAUUCUAAUUAAUAAUUUUUUUGAUGUAAUUAUGAAAUUUUAGCAAUCAUUUUAUUUUUCUGUUCCUUCACCAAAUAACUUGGAUGUGGAACUCUCCUGCAUAUUCUUUGAAAAGAGACGAAAUUCAAAGCAAAUUGAUCUCUUUGUAAACUUCUCAUAGCUUCCAUUACCUAUUUUCUUCAUCUUCCCGGAAAUAAUUUUUCCCAAUAUCUGUCUAAAUUUCGUUUUUGGGAUUUUUUUAGAUUUGGAACAAAUCCUAAAGCUUUGCUUCCCCCAUCGAAUUGAUGACAUAAUUCCUGAUCUAUUAGUUUGGAUUUUGUGGUGGAUUUUCCUAGAAGAGGCUGUUUGGACCAGAAAAAGGGCUGGACUUGGGGGGUCUGUUCUAGGCCUUUGAUCUCUUCUCACAGAUUGAAUUCUUUCGAUUUUUAUUUGCUCUUUAAUGGAAUUAUCAAGGACCCACAUUGAUGUUGGAAUUGAGAAGAGAGAGUUGAUGGUUAUAAUGAGGACCUAAGAAUUUGGGAAAUUUUGAUGGGGAACGCAUGCGCUGGGCCAAGUAAUCUUGGUGGGAAUGGAUUCUUCCAAUCUGUCACACAGGCGGUUUGGCGGCAAAGGCCGCCUAUUCAGGACCAAUUGCCGGCGGCUAAUGAAGAUAACAGCAACAAAGGUUCCGACGAAUCUAAUAAAUCCAAGGGCUCGGAUGAUUGUCAAGAUUCCGCUGCAACUGAGAACACUGCCCCUGUACCCGUCAAGAUCCCCAAUGCGGAGCCCAAGAAUAAGGAAGGGAACAAUGCCAAUAAGGCUUCGGGUCAAAAGCCAAACAAUUUGAAGAGGUUGACAAGCACGGAACUGGAGUCAGUGCUUGGAAGGAAAACCGGGAAUAUGAAGGAGCUAUAUAGCUUGGGGCGUAAGUUAGGUCAAGGACAAUUCGGAACAACGUUUUUCUGUGUUGAAAAAAGCACUGGGAAAGAGUUCGCCUGCAAAUCCAUUGCCAAGAGGAAGCUGACCUCAACUGAUGAUUUGGAGGAUGUUAGAAGGGAGGUUCAUAUAAUGCACCAUCUCGCAGGUCACCCUAAUGUGAUACAAAUCAUAGGUGCUUACGAAGAUGCUGUGGCUAUUUAUCUUGUUAUGGAGUUUUGUGCUGGUGGGGAGCUUUUUGAUAGAAUCAUUCAGAGAGGGCAUUAUACCGAGAGAAAGGCAGCUGCGCUUGCUAGGGUAAUGGUUGGUGUUGUUCAAGCAUGUCAUUCUCUUGGUGUUAUGCAUCGUGACCUCAAGCCCGAAAAUUUCCUGUUCAUUAACAAGGAUGAGGACGCCCCACUUAAAGCAAUUGAUUUUGGGCUUUCAAUGUUCUUUAAGCCAGGUGAAAUAUUCAAUGAUGUGGUUGGAAGUCCAUAUUAUGUGGCUCCAGAAGUGUUGCAGAAGCACUAUGGUCCAGAAUGUGAUGUUUGGAGUGCUGGAGUGAUCAUUUAUAUUUUACUUUGUGGAGUCCCCCCAUUCUGGGAUGAAACGGAGCAAGGGAUAUUUGAGCAGGUUAUGAGAGGUGAACUCGACUUUACAUCAGAGCCAUGGCCUAGUAUCUCUAACAGUGCAAAGGACUUGGUACGACGAAUGCUUAUAAAGGACCCUAAAAGGCGGUUGACAGCCCAUGAAGUUCUUUGUCACCCUUGGGUUCAGGAGGAUGGCAUUGCUCCUGAUAAACCUCUUGAUUCAGCUGUCCUAUCGCGUUUGAAGCAAUUUUCUGCAAUGAAUAAGCUGAAGAAAAUUGCCAUCAGAGUCAUUGCUGAUAGCCUAUCAGAAGAGGAAAUUGCAGGCCUGAAAGAAAUGUUUAAGAUGAUAGAUGCAGAUAACAGUGGGAAUAUCACUCUUGAGGAACUGAAAAUUGGUUUGGAAAAAGUUGGUUCUAAGCUCAAGGAUUCUGAGAUUAAUGGGUUAAUGCAAGCUGCAGACAUUGAUAACAGUGGUACUAUAGACUAUAGCGAGUUCAUAGCGGCCAUGCUUCAUCUAAACAAGAUCCAGAAAGAGGAUCAUCUGUUUGCAGCUUUCAACUACUUUGACAAAGAUGGAAGUGGCUACAUUACUCCAGAUGAGCUCCAACAGGCCUGUGAGCAGUUUGGCUUGCAAGAUGUUCACUUGGAAGAUGUAAUACGUGAAGUUGACCAGGAUAACGUAAAGAAUUUACAAGCUGACUUUUUAACUUCCAUUUUCACUUCAAAUAUUAUGUUGGUUAAAGAUGUAUGUUCAUUUUACAUACAUCGAUUAUCAUGAUUUCUUCUCUUCAGGAUGGACGUAUCGACUAUAGUGAGUUUGUAGCUAUGAUGCAAGACACAGGUUUAACCGGAAAGCACAAAACAUUUAAGCAUUGAUACAUCAUCUUGCUACAGUAAGACUGCUUAUUCCAUGGUUCUUUAGACUACAAUUUUGAUUUUGAACCUCAGACCUUUUGGUAAUCCCUACUGAAACUAUCAUAAGUUGGGUAGUAAUUCCCUUAUCUGAAUCUUGUUAGCACUUUUCAGUUCACUAUACUGAGCUAUGCUACUCUUGACUUUUUCUUUUUCUUGAAGUACCCGUCUUAGACACCUAUGUCUGAUGCAUAUCUGGAAAUGGGUGUAGAGACAUGACCCUAAAAAAGCCCUCCAAAUACAUGCAAAAACUUUGAAAAAUUUGAACAUACUCAUACCAGAUAUAUACUCUUAUCCAACAUUUACACCCAAGCUGAGAUCUCUUUACUCAUUUUGACCCUCAAUUUCUUCCAGGUUAAGUCAUUCAUUCAUCAGUCCAUUCAUUUGCCCUCGUCUGAAAAAGAAAAAGAUAAAAAAGAAGAAGGAAUAUACGGGACUUGGUAGCCAUGUUCAACAUAAGCUGUUUAGCAGCUCUGUUUAGAAACUGUAGCAUGCUCGAUGUUGUGUCCCGUAGUGAUCUUGCUGGCCUAAGGUCGACUCAAUCAUAGGGUACUUCCUUCUUGCUACCAUAUCUUGCCUACUAGCAAGGCCAGCAUAUCUAGAUUCUCAGGAGGUUAUGCAGAAAAAAUGGCAUGUAACAUUUUGCUGGCGAAGAUUGGCUUGUUGACAUGGAGCGCCCCCAUGGCAGAGAAGUCAAAGCUUAUAGGAACCCAUAUUAUUUGGACCUAAGUUAAUGGCGUGGUUCGUAGGUUUCCCUCUUCUUUGGAGAGUUGUUCUGUAAUGUUCUUAAAAAUUUUUGUUGUAGAAAAACGGACCACUUGGUUCAAUUUUACUCGUCCUCGAUUGGACCAUUGCAGGAACAAGCAAACUCAUUGGUUAUUUCAACCCUUUUUACCAUCAUGCAACAACUUGCGUCUUCUUGUUUUCACAUCUAACAAAUCUCAUAUAUUUAUUUACUCUCAAAUUACAAUUUAUCAUUUGAUGGUGAAA